UACGUUAUUAUCAAUUGCAGUUUUUUAGAAGCCAAGCUGCAGUCAACACACAGAAGCAAAAGGUCCUCAUGUAAUUCACAAGGCUGAUGGACCUCAGUUCAUUCUAUGAGCAUCUGGACAGCUGUCUAUUCAGUGGUUCAGGUCAAAUGAGGGGGUUAAAGAAAUUACA